AGCUCUGUGCAGGCGCAGGAUUGCAGCCAAGGAGGUUUAGCCAAGGUGUGAUUAUUGCUAAUUGAAAACUUUUCCCAAGAAAUCUGAGUUAAUUAUGUUAGAAAGCCUUGCCCAACUUGUAGCUUCUUCUGUGGAAG